GUGCUCACUUUGGCAGCACAUAUACUAAAAUUGGAACAAUACAGAGAAAGCUUGGCCCCUGCGCAAGGAUGACACAAAUUCGUGAAGCAUUCCAUAUUUUU
rnacentral:snRNA from 1 species